rnacentral:lncRNA from 1 species
GUACCGCCACAACGUGCUGGUCAAGGACACCAAGCGCCGCAUGCUGCAGCUCAAGAGCAACAAGGUCCGCCAGAAAGUGGAGCACAGUGUGGAGGGUGCCCAGCGCGCCGCUGCUAUCGCGCGCCAGAAGGCCGAGAUUGCCGCCUCCAGGUAAGACAGAGGUGGGGGUGGGAAGGGGUCGCCUCCCCUCGGAGAAGGGGGUCCUGGGGCAGGGCAACCUAGGAGGCCCUGUCUCCAAGCCUGAUUCUGCUUCUUUUACCCCCAUCACCUUCAGGGGUUAAUUGGAGGCUCUUCGGGAGCUGGUGGCUCCUGUUCACUCACCCAUCCAUCCAUCACUCAAUUACACCCAGCCCCUCCACUGACUUAACCCUACCACUCACCCAACCUUUCUAAUAUCCACCUGAACAGCCAUCUCUCCAGUCAUCCACUCCAUUCCCCUACCCAUUCCACUUCCUGUUUACCCAUCCAGUCAUCCAGUCAUCCAUCUGUCCACACAACCUCGCAGUCAACCACCGAAACAUCCAUCCACAUCCACCUGAACAACAGCCUAACAUCUACCUGAACAACCACCCAUUCACUCAAAGAUUUACUUAUCUAUUCCAUGCAACCUACCCAAUUUUUCAUCCUUUUACCUACUCAACC